rnacentral:lncRNA from 1 species
GCUGUCGCAGGGAGCUGAGGGUCUGGGCUGCGGAUUCAAAGUCAGGAGCCUGGAGCCUGGACGGGGGCGCACACGCGCACACCAGGCUGCCUGAUGCUGUGAUCCCCUCCCCUGCGUGGCCCCCCCGCCGCUGGCAGAGCUUGCCUCUCCCUCCGCCCCAGCUGUUGUGGGCCGUGGCCUCGGCCGUGGCAGCCUUGCCCAGCACAGCCGGGGAGGAAUUUCCCACAGGUGGGCCGGUGAGCUCAGCUUUCUUACCUGUUGUUGGGGAGUCGGGGAGGGGAAUUUCCAGCUUCUACCCUGCUCUCCUCCCUGAGCGAGGCCCUCUGCCUGAAACUUUGUACAUUAACUGGUGGAUGGUUCAUUUCAUCUCAAGGUUACGGUGUGAAAGGUACAAAAACGACACAGUGUAGCCUCCC